CGAACGGAAAGGCUGCUUUUGUGGUGCUCGAGUGGCGAACGGGUGAGUAACACGUGAGUACCUGCCCUUGACUUUGGGAUAACUUCAGGAAACUGGGGCUAAUACCGGAUAGGCUGGCAUGGUGAAAGUUUCGGCGGUUGGGGAUGGACUCGCGGCUUAUCAGCUUGUUGGUGGGGUAGUGGCUUACCAAGGCUUUGACGGGUAGCCGGCCUGAGAGGGUGACCGGCCACAUUGGGACUGAGAUACGGCCCAGACUCCUACGGGAGGCAGCAGUGGGGAAUAUUGCACAAUGGGCGGAAGCCUGAUGCAGCAACGCCGCGUGCGGGAUGACGGCCUUCGGGUUGUAAACCGCUUUCGCCUGUGACGAAGCGUGAGUGACGGUAAUGGGUAAAGAAGCACCGGCUAACUACGUGCCAGCAGCCGCGGUGAUACGUAGGGUGCGAGCGUUGUCCGGAUUUAUUGGGCGUAAAGGGCUCGUAGGUGGUUGAUCGCGUCGGAAGUGUA
rnacentral:rRNA from 1 species